CCUUGAAGACCGUACCGUAAACCGACACAGGUGGGUAGGAUGAGAAUUCUAAGGCGCUUGAGAGAACUCAGGAGAAGGAACUCGGCAAAAUAGCACCGUAACUUCGGGAAAAGGUGUGCCCUUUGUAUGUGUAGCGCCUCGCGCGUGAAGCAGAAUAGGGUUGCAAUGAAAUGGUGGCUGCGACUGUUUAAUAAAAACAUAGCACUCUGCAAACACGAAAGUGGACGUAUAGAGUGUGACGCCUGCCCGGUGCCGGAAGGUUAAAUGAUGGGGUGCAAGCUCUUGAUUGAAGCCCAGGUAAACGGCGGCCGUAACAAUAACGGUCCUAAGGUAGCGAAAUUCCUUGUCGGGUAAGUUCCGACCUGCACGAAUGGCGUAACGAUGGCCACACUGUCUCCUCCUGGGACUCAGCGAAGUUGAAAUGUUUGUGAAGAUGCAAUCUCCCCGCGGCUAGACGGAAAGACCCCGUGCACCUUUACUGUAGCUUUACAUUGGACUUUGAUAACAUUUGUGUAGGAUAGGUGGGAGGCUUUGAAGUGGAUUCGCUAGAAUUCAUGGAGCCAACGUUGAAAUACCACCCUGAUGUUGUUGAGGUUCUAACCUAGAUCCAUUAUCUGGAUUGGGGACCGUGUAUGGUAGGCAGUUUGACUGGGGCGGUCUCCUCCCAAAUUGUAACGGAGGAGUACGAAGGUACGCUAGGUACGGUCGGAAAUCGUGCUGAUAGUGCAAUGGCAAAAGCGUGCUUGACUGCGAGACUGACAAGUCGAGCAGAUGCGAAAGCAGGUCAUAGUGAUCCGGUGGUUCUGUAUGGAAGGGCCAUCGCUCAACGGAUAAAAGGUACGCCGGGGAUAACAGGCUGAUUCCUCCCAAGAGUUCAUAUCGACGGGGGAGUUUGGCACCUCGAUGUCGGCUCAUCACAUCCUGGGGCUGUAGCCGGUCCCAAGGGUAUGGCUGUUCGCCAUUUAAAGUGGUACGUGAGCUGGGUUUAAAACGUCGUGAGACAGUUUGGUCCCUAUCUGCCGUGGGCGUUGGAAGUUUGAGUGGACCUGCUCCUAGUACGAGAGGACCGGAGUGGACGCACCUCUGGUGUACCGGUUAUGACGCCAGUCGUACCGCCGGGUAGCUAUGUGCGGAAGAGAUAACCGCUGAAAGCAUCUAAGCGGGAAACUCUCCUCAAGAUGAGACUUCCCGAGGGUUUAACCCUCCUAAAGGUUCGUC
rnacentral:rRNA from 1 species